AUUGAACGCUAGCGGGAUGCCUUACACAUGCAAGUCGAACGGAGUGGCGAACGGGUGAGUAAUGUAUCGGAACGUGCCCAGUAGCGGGGGAUAACUACGCGAAAGCGUAGCUAAUACCGCAUACUAUUGGCGCGGCCGAUAUCGGAUUAGCUAGUUGGUGGGGUAAAGGCAAACCAAGUCGACGAUCCGUAGCUGGUUUUAGAGGGCGACCAGCCACACGGGUACUGAGACACGGCCCAGACGCCUACGGGAGGCAGCAGUGGGGAAUUUUGGACAAGGGGGGAAACCCUGAUCCAGCCAUCCCGCGUGUGUGAUGAAGGCCUUCGGGUUGUAAAGCACUUUUGGCAGGAAAGCGGUACCUGCAGAAUAAGCACCGGCUAACUACGUGCCAGCAGCCGCGGUAAUUC
rnacentral:rRNA from 1 species